CUCUCUCUCUCUCUCUAUUUUGAACACAACAACAGCAGCAACAGCAGCGGCAAAAAGAAGAAGGGUUUCUUGCUUUGCUUCCCUUUUCUUUAUUUCUUGUCUGCUCCCCUUGUUCGGGACAACCCCAUCUUUCUGCCCUCUCCUCCUCCCUUUCCCCUUCUUCUCCUUCUGCUUCUUCUUCUCCUACCCACCAACACAUUAAUGUUGCCAGAGACUAAAACCACCAUGACCACCACCACUACCACCACCACCACCACCAGCAACAACAACAGAACAGCCACUAAGACCCACCCAUGGCCUUUCCAUCUUGCCCUCUCCAGGAAGAAGAGAAGAAAGAGGUACCGAGGUGAUGGUCAUCUGAGCAGCAGUGAUACGGCAGGCUUGCGCUGAUACACUAGGCUCUCUAGUCCUUUUGAUUACAUUAGUCGAUACGCAUUAGAAGACGAGGACUUGUCAGGGAAAAAAAAAAGAAAAAGAAAAAAAAAAAUCUGGGAAUGAAGCCAUCGGUCCGGGAUCAUAUACAUAUAAUUUUGUAUCGUGACAAUUGGUAGAUUUAGUAAAUUGUUAGGCGAUCGCAGUAUUAUGCCUUCGUUUUUGGUUUGAUGACAAAAUUUCAUUCAGCUAAUUCUUAUUUAGAUUCA